rnacentral:rRNA from 1 species
GACGAACGCUGGCGGCGUGCCUAAUACAUGCAAGUCGAACGCUUCUUUUUCCACCGAGUGCUUGCACUCACGGAGAAAGAGGAGUGGCGGACGGGUGAGUAACACGUGGGUAACCUGCCCAUUAGAAGGGGAUAACACUUGGAAACAGGUGCUAAUACCGUAUAUCUCUUGUUGCCGCAUGGCAACGGGAUGAAAGACGCUUUCGGGUGUCACUAAUGGAUGGACCUGCGCUGCGUUAGUUAGUUGGUGGGGUAACGGCCUACCAAGACCAUGAUGCAUAGCCGACCUGAGAGGGUGAUCGGCCACACUGGGACUGAGACACGGCCCAGACUCCUACGGGAGGCAGCAGUAGGGAAUCUUCGGCAAUGGACGAAAGUCUGACCGAGCAACGCCGCGUGAGUGAAGAAGGUUUUCGGAUCGUAAAACUCUGUUGUUAGAGAAGACAAGUGGGAGAGUAACUGUUCCCGCCAUGACGGUAUCUAACCAGAAAGUCACGGCUAACUACGUGCC